CAGUCCUGGUUUAGUCCUGUUUUACACAUGGUUUAGAUCUGUUUUAGUCCUGGUUUAGGCCUUUUUCAGUCCUGGAUUAGACCCUGUUCAGGUCUGGUUUAGUCCUGCUUGCAACAAAACAAUCUGAAGAGCCGCUUGGGAGCCGAAAGAGCCAGCUGCUUUUAGUGAGCCAAGCCAAAAGAGCCGGUUCUCUAAAAAGAACUGGAACUGGAACUACCAGCUAGAAUGUGAUGCAAAAAUGCCAUUAGGGUGACCUACUGUGUGUAAAUAUGACGUAAAGAGGCAGAGUAACGAUAAAUGUUGCCUAAAUAAAUCCAGUGUAAAAUCCACUAGAGCUAAACCUAAGUUUUUUUUUAAAUUCAAGAUUUAUAGUGAAUUUUUAUAUCACUAAAUAUAUCUGCGAUUAUAUCGGCCAUCUGCAGCACCAACUCCAAUUUUAUCGGUAUCAUAUCGGAUGCAACAAAAUCCAUAUCGGUCGGGCCCUAAUUACAAUAUUAGAAAAAAUGACAAUGGUGUUUUUAAAAGGAUUAAUUUUUUUCGCAACAGCAAAACCAUUCUGUAACUUUUAUUCAGCUCUGAAUGAUUUUGAACAGUUGCUACUCAUUAUGCUAUUACACAUUCUGUUAGCACAAAUCUCACAGUACCAGUCUGUACUGAGCUGUUACAAUAUAGCCCCACUGGUCGAAGCUGCUGAGGUGAUGCAUUGCCUACUGGAGUAUGAAGUUGCAUGCACUCUGUAUCGAUUCUUAGUCACAUGCUUUUAUUAUCUUUCCCUUUUUGAUUUCAACCAGUUAAGAGCUAGCAGCAGCAUCUACCUGUGCAAAUGAUCUGUGAUAGGAACUUUUUAUUUUUAUUAUUUACUUUUUUACCUCUCUGUUUGCUGCUGAUUUUGCAUUUUGGUAAGUGGAAAAAACUGCAUGUCAGACUGAAGUGGUUGAGCUGAAAUGACGGCGUGGAACAGCUAUGGGAGUCUGAACUGCUUUCAUAGUCACCACUUCUUCUUCUUCUUGGACAACUGUGAUAAAAGCUCUGGUCACUCUUUCACUGGCCCUGCAUUGUGAUUCCUGUCCCCUCUGCUGCUAACACAGCCACAAGCCAAUGAAAGAGUCUCUCACUCAGACAAGUGUACUGGUUCACACACUCCUACAUAGGUUAAUAUGGCAGGCUUCAGAUUUCUGUCCUGCAUGCCUUCUGCAUCGUGUACAUUAUGCAUGAGAAGUGAUAGGGCUCAAAAUAUUUUCAAGGACGAUGUAUUUCCAAUAUUUCCAUUCAGUGUUCAGUCCUGGAAAUCCAGCAAAAUCUGUAUGUGACUACGUUAUUGUGGACAUAUGCUCUCCACACCUCUGCACAUGAAAGAGGUCACUGCCUAAAUCUGACCACUGCAGUCUUCUUAGCUCUCAUUUGCAUUUGCUUGUAUUGCAUGAGCCUUUUCAGUGCUGAAGGGAAAUCACAUUUAGGAUGCUGUAUUUUUAUUUGUAUACAAAAUUCUUUUCAUAUAGGGCAUUGACAUUAGGAGCAGGUGGGCAUGCUUCAGUUCAUGUGAUCUGACCAUAACUUCUACUUGUGGUGCAGAGGAUGUCAUGUAUAACAUUGCUGCUGUCAUCUCUGGGGGAGGGCUGGGGCAUGUGUCUGAGUUCUUUUUUUACUACACAGUACCAUGCACGUUUUGUAACUAAUUAACAGUUUUUGUUUCUUCUUUUCACUGUUUAGAUGAUGACUCAGGUGCUGCUCCUCUGAAGAGCAACUCAAAUGCCAACCACAAGGACAAAGGCGUGAGGCAAAGAAACUCCAACUAAAAUCCUUUAGAGAUGAUGGCCGAUGUCUGAAUGACUCUUAAAAAUCAUCUGUUGUGUGGCACAAUAAUGUGCACUUUGCAAAUCUAAAUAACUUUCUGUGCUUGGGUGUUGAUGUUUUAAGAGAUUUAAACAUUUUUAUUGACUUUGUUUUUUUCUCAUUAAUUUCCUCUACAUUGUGCAGCCAGAGGCCAUAGUGACCUUUUUUUUUUUUUUUUUUUUGAUGCCGAAGGGGCAAACAUUGCAUGAGUUUAACUGCUGUUGCAAAUGUGUGUUUGUUGUAAAGCCAAUAAAGUCCACAAGGGGGUGCUUCAAUGUCCUGUCUGCCCUGAUGCCCCAGCAGCACUGCCCGCUGUCACAUGAAUAAGAAUGACUGAAUCCAUCACUGCCAUCUUUGUCACAGGCUGUGAGAGUGCAUUUGAACCGCUUUAUUUGUCCUUAGAACACUUCCACCAUCCUCAGAUUUUUAUACUUGGCCUUAACACUCAACAUUUCUUUUAAGUUUUUAUUUUGUUACUGCUGUUUAAGCUUAAUAUUGAAUGCAGAAAUGGCUGAAAAUUCAUUCUGUAUUUUGCCAUAAUUUAAGGUAUGCAAGAUUUUUGUCUCGUAAUCUUUUUAAGUUUUAAAUCACUUUUGUCACACUUUUUUUUUCUUCUGAAGGACCAAGAGCAAAGGAGAACAAUCUUUUGCCUUUGAACGCUACUAUACUACGCACUGAUGUUUAGACUACAGCUGUAAACCUAUGUCACCUAAUGGACUGAGACAGAUACAUUUGUGUGUGAUUGUUAAUUCUAAUUGUUGUUCCUUCACUGUGUAGAUGACUCAGAAAGCCAUAAGUUAAUUUUAACCUGAGUAGUUUUGUGAUUGAAUGUUACCAUAUUAUAGAGUUAUACUAUUAAAUUCAUGGAACAGAGAACAGUUGUGUACACUAUUGUCUAUUUCAAAUGGGACAUGGGAAAUGACCAUCUGUACAACAUGCACAAGAUUUAAUAAAGAUUAUGGAGUUAA